AUCUCAUUAGUGUUAAAUGACAAGUUUCAUUUUUUACUCAUUUUUUUCCUUUACUGUAUGAGAAAAAACCCUGUGCAUUUCUAGAUCUAAUGAGAGGGGAAAAUAGCACUUAUAGAAUCCUCAAACAUUCUUUAUCUUUUGUAUGUGGAUUCUUUUCUGACGGGGCAAGCGAGAAUUUACUGACUUCCCUGACAAAACAAAUCUGCAACAUUAUAGACACACUAAGGGAGUACGCUCACAGUGGAAGAGCAGCCACGCUGAGUGACUCCAGAUCCUUCCCUUCACGGUGGCGGCCUCGCACUGAUCUUGGCGCUGUGGGUGUUUUUUUCUCUUUACAAUUCAGACAGAAGACAAGUAAACAUCCAUGAAGACAAGGAAAACUGCAGCUUAAAGAAUUUCUUAAAGCUAGAAGAUCAAGAGGGCACAUAGAUUUGGAAAGUUUGAUUUUCUGUUAAGUUCAAAACAAACAAAGCAGGAUGAGGGGGAAAAAAGUGUCCUGACAAAUGUUGCCAGCAGCCCAGAACCAAAGAACACAUUUAAAAAUCCUGUCUGCUCAGGUGAGAGCUUGACAGGUGGCACCCUGAAGGUAGCUUGGACUUGUUCAGCGUGCCCUGCCCUGUGGCUUCUGAUAUUCCUUGAGUCUUUCUCCAGCAGCCAGGUCAUGUGGUGUCUGGACACAGCGUGUGGCACUCUGCCAACUCUUGCCAGGGCAUUAGCAGCUGGAGGCAGCCAGGAGGCUCAUUCUCAGUGGAGGACACUCACUGCCUUUUUCCUUCUUGUCACUGAUGGUGCGGAACCACUUCUGCUCAUCAUUCUCUUUUAAUCUGGCCCAGUGAUGAAAAAGACCUAUUGGGGCCCGCCUGGCAGGUGAAGCAUCCAGAUGCUAAGCUCCAGGAUUAAUUUUGCUGGCUGUGGCUUCUGGGAGUCAGUUCUUUUUCUCGGGCUUGGCUAGUGGACUGGAUUAACCCCUCACUGUCCAAAAGGCUCAUUUAAUGCGUCAAAUUAGCAGUCCACCUCUCUUGGCAGGAAGAUGUACCUGAUGCUCUUUAAUUGCAAGAAUCUGCGUUUAAACACUGGAGGUGUGAAGUUUUAGUAGAGCCUUAUUCUUCAGAAACACAAAGAACAGCGGUCCCUGGAGAUGAUAAUGAGACUGAGCAAUUCACACACUUCAGUAAGCAACACCUGCAGGGCACAUUCAGAGCAGGAAGAGUCAUGGUCAGUGUCCAUUAAAAGAAAGGAAAGGCACAAUCUAAGAAGAAUUUACAACUUAGUGGGCAUAAUUCAUGGAUGGGAAUGUUACUCCAGAAAGCAACUAGAUGCACCUCAGCCACUAGGGGACACACACACACACACACACACACACACACACACACACACACACACACACGGCUCUCAGUUUCUUCUUUUUGAAAUUUUGCUUUUGUUUUCUGAAAUCUUCUUCCUUGUCCCCAAAAGUCAAGGAGAAAAUUUACAAUCUGACUCUGCCGUCAAGAAAUCUUGCCUCUGCCUUCAUGUUUUUUUGUUGUUGUUGUGGAAAAGUUUACGACUUCGUGUCGCCAAGCAACAGUACUUUUGAAAGGGGCCCUAAAUAUUAAACUCAUUUCAAGUGUGACUCGAGACUCAGGCAGACUGCAGGAGUGGUGACAAUUUAUUACUCUUCAGAAGCCCUAAAGCAGAGUAAAUAUAGAUUUACCAGUGAUAAUAUGAGAACAACAGAUCAAUUUGAUUUUAAGUAAAUCCUUCCCCCCAAAAGCCAGAAUUUGAUUAAUCCAUCGAAGCUUACUGGAAUCACUCGGAACAAAUCGAAACGCAGAAGAGUUCCUCUUCUCACAUUGUCAAAUGUACCUGGCUAAA